rnacentral:snoRNA from 1 species
UUGCACCUAUAUUUAUUUUUACCUGCCAUCUUUUAUGAUGGUGUGUACUUAAGUUGGUGCAUAGAGGAAAUGCUGCUCUUGUAGCAGCGGCGGCCAGACAACCGUUGAGAGAUGGAUCCACAGAUGAACAAUCUUUCUGCUGUUUGUCUACUAAUUCUAUCUCACAUUG